rnacentral:rRNA from 1 species
GAUGAACGCUGGCGGCGUGCCUAAUACAUGCAAGUCGAGCGAACGGACGAGAAGCUUGCUUCUCUGAUGUUAGCGGCGGACGGGUGAGUAACACGUGGAUAACCUACCUAUAAGACUGGGAUAACUUCGGGAAACCGGAGCUAAUACCGGAUAAUAUUUUGAACCGCAUGGUUCAAAAGUGAAAGACGGUCUUGCUGUCACUUAUAGAUGGAUCCGCGCUGCAUUAGCUAGUUGGUAAGGUAACGGCUUACCAAGGCAACGAUGCAUAGCCGACCUGAGAGGAGGGUCGGCCACAGGGAAACGGGGAACGGGACCGACCUCCACGGGAGGGGACAGGAGGGGAAUGUUCCGAAAGGGCGAAAGGCCUGAGGGGGCACCGCGGGGGGGUGGAUGAAGUUCUUGGAACGGAAAACCUUUUUUAUGGGGAAAAACAAUAUGUGAAGGAAACUGUCCACAUCUUAGCGUUACCAAAUAAAAAACCCACGGCAAACUACGUG